rnacentral:lncRNA from 1 species
ACGAGAUUGUCGCCCUCAACAGCCACCUGCUGGAGGCUAAGGUGACCAUUGACAAGCUGUCAGAAGACAACGAGCUCUAUAGGAAGGACUGCAAUCUAGCGGCCCAGCUGCUGCAGUGCAGCCAGACCUACGGCAGGGUCCAUAAGGUGUCCGAGGUAACGUGGCCCCGCCCCACAGCCAGGCCCGCCCCGUCCCAGGACCACCCGGCUCCUUUUGGGCCACCCCACCCCGAAGCCUCUCCCCACCCUCCAGGAAGAAGCUACCCGGUGAGCCUGAACCCUCGCCCCUCGUGCACCUGGGUCCCGGCUUCCUGAUGGUGAACGGUGCCCCCACACCACACUUCCCAGACAGACCCACUCUUGGGCCGCACACACCUGUUUCAUUUGAGGGCUGCCCCUCGUC